rnacentral:rRNA from 1 species
AUGGGAACGCGAAGAACCUUACCUAGACUUGACAUCUCCUGAAUAGUGUAGAGAUACAUGAAGCCCUUCGGGGCAGGAAGACAGGUGGUGCAUGGUUGUCGUCAGCUCGUGUCGUGAGAUGUUGGGUUAAGUCCCGCAACGAGCGCAACCCUUAUUACUAGUUGCUACCAUUAAGUUGAGCACUCUAGUGAGACUGCCCGGGUUAACCGGGAGGAAGGCGGGGAUGACGUCAAAUCAUCAUGCCCCUCAUGUCUAGGGCAACACACGUGCUACAAUGGUGAGUACAGAUAGAUGCGAUACCGCAAGGUGGAGCCAAACUCUAAAACUCAUCCCAGUUCGGAUUGUAGGCUGCAACUCGCCUACAUGAAGUUGGAGUUGCUAGUAAUCGCGAAUCAGAAUGUCGCGGUGAAUACGUUCCCGGGUCUUGUACACACCG